CGACCAUUUUCAUGGCUUUCUUCCCCUGAGCUCAACCUCCCGCUCCAGCCCCGCGCCUUCCUUGCCUGGAAAUCGUCACCUUAGGAACCGCCUGGGCGAGUCAAUAACAGAUGCCAUGGGACCAGUAUGGAGCAGGAUCUCUCCGAGAUGGGGCAGACAGGCAGCACGACCACAGCACUAGGAAAAUACAUUCUCCUUGUGUGGAAGAUGCUUUCCGGGUCAGUUCGAAUGCAGGCGCAACAAUUGGAAACGGGAUCACCUCUUAGGAGAAUGUUCCCUGGCGGUGUUAAAGAAUUUGAUUCCAGAACACUAUUUCCGGUUUGCUUGGGAUGGAAAACCUAGCUGUUUGUUUCUUUUGCAUUCCUGAGAUUUCCUCUAAUUCUCCAUCAAGCUAAGAUUUGUCCUUAUUGAUUCACACUGAAAUGUAGUUCUAUUAAUAAACAUAGACGAAACCAAA